rnacentral:rRNA from 1 species
GACGAACGCUGGCGGCGUGCUUAACACAUGCCAGUCGAACGGAGUGGCGAGCGGGAGAGUAACACGGAGUGAAUCUGCCUUGCACUUCGGGAUAAGCUUGGUACACAGGGUCUAAUACGGGAUAGGGCAAGAUGAGGUCGCGGCCUAUCAGCUUGUUGGUGGGGUAAUGGCCUACCAAGGCGUCGACGGGUAGCCGGCCUGAGAGGGUGUACGGCCACAUUGGGACUGAGAUACGGCCCAGACUCCUACGGGAGGCAGCAGUGGGGAAUAUUGCACAAUGGGCGGAAGCCUGAUGCAGCGACGCCGCGUGGGGGAUGAAGGCCUUCUGGUUGUAAACUCCUUUCGACAGGGACGCGGUACCUGUAUAAGAAGCACCGGCUAACUACGUGCCAGCAGCCGCGGUAAUUC